ACAUUGGUGGUUCAGUGGUAGAAUCCUCCUCUUCCAUGCAGGAGACCUGGAUUGAAUUCCCAGCCAGUGUA
rnacentral:tRNA from 1 species